CGCAUGUACUGCCGCAGCCGGGCCUUUCCCGCUGUGGAACCCCAUGGCCUUUACUGGUUGUGGCGGGGAAACAGGACUUUUACUUUGAAAAAAUUAGAGUGCUCCAGGCAGGCCUAUGCUCGAAUACAUUAGCAUGGAAUAAUAAAAUAGGACGCGUGGUUCUAUUUUGUUGGUUUCUAGGACCGCCGUAAUGAUUAAUAGGGACAGUCGGGGGCAUCAGUAUUCAAUUGUCAGAGGUGAAAUUCUUGGAUCUAUUGAAGACUAACUACUGCGAAAGCAUUUGCCAAGGAUGUUUUCAUUGAUAAGGAACGAAAGUUAGGGGAUCGAAGACGAUCAGAUACCGUCGUAGUCUUAACUAUAAACUAUGCCGACUAGGGAUCGGACGAUGUUAUUUUUUGACUCGUUCGGCACCUUUCGAGAAAUCAAAGUGCUUGGGCUCCAGGGGGAGUAUGGUCGCAAGGCUGAAACUUAAAGAAAUUGACGGAAGGGCACCACCAGGGGUGGAACCUGCGGCUUAAUUUGACUCAACACGGGGAAACUCACCAGGUCCAGACACAGUGAGGAUUGACAGAUUGAUAGCUCUUUCUUGAUUCUGUGGGUGGUGGUGCAUGGCCGUUCUUAGUUGGUGGAGUGAUUUGUCUGGUUAAUUCCGAUAACGAACGAGACCUUAACCUGCUAACUAGUCUCGCUCAUUUUAUGGGCGCUGACUUCUUAGAGGGACUAUGUGU
rnacentral:rRNA from 1 species